rnacentral:lncRNA from 1 species
CUCACUAGUAGGUUGANCCGCCCAAAUGAUUCCUCACUAGUAGGUUGAGGUACUGUUGAGCUUGGGGUAUCUGCAUGAGGUGUUGGCUCAUCCAUCUAUGUAUCCUCGAAAUCAUGUGUACUGAAGGUUUCAUUGGGAUGAGGUAAUGUCGAAGAUGGCCCCCAACCGUGAACACCGGUCGAGGUUUCCCCAUCAAAUAGUUGGGUACAAAGUUCAGGGCAAGGGAGGGGUGCAUUUCUCAG